CCAGGAAAAAUAAGUAGGGAGAGAGGAAGGAAUUCAUCUUUGAAAACUGGUCUACCUGGAACUUGCUGUAGCUCCAAGAACAGCCAAAAUCAACAUCCCUAAAUCCCCCAAAGCUGCAGAAUAUUACAGUAGCUUUAUAGCUGGGUUGCUUCCUCCUCCACUUCUGGUUAAGGACAAGGAGAAGCCUUUGGAAACAAAAGGAGCUGCUGCUCAUGUGACUGCUCAGAUCACUGUUCCAACCAGGAGAAGUUUGAGCCUGUAAAAUGUUACUGGUCCACUACUGCCUUUUUCACCCCAUGAGUGAAGAAAUUGCUUCUGAUGACACCGAAUGACAUUUGACUCCUUACACUGACAGAUAAAACAAUUCUUCCCUCAUUGCUACCACUGCAAGAGAAAGGUCCAGAAAUGACUCUUGAAAGGUAGAAGUCCUAAGAGGACAGAUAUCUUGGAAAGGCAAUUUAUUUUUCCCUCUCCUUUGAGAAGUGCCAGACAACUCCCGAUUCCCUUUUCCUAUUGUGACGUCAGAACGCUGGAAAUCCCGAAGCUUUCAAACGGAAUGUAAAAUCAUUAUUAACUAUCUAAUUAAGCAGUUCCACCUUUGCUUUGCCACUUGGUCAUGUUUUUAACUUAUUUUGUGAAUGGGACAAUUUUGUGCAGCACUUUGGCACGCUGUACAGGAGCCUGGAGGAGAGGAACAGCUCUGACACAACAGACACAGAUAUCUGUCCUGUCACUGGAACAGAGAGAUGGAAGAGGCCUCACAUCAAGGAAUUAUGUUGCUGUGGCCUUUUAAAGUCCAAGCAAUCAAUCAACACCAGUUUCAGCUUCAUUAUUUUGCUGGCAGCAAGGAGCUAUGAUUUAUUUUUUUUUUAUGGAAAAAAGAAUUUCUAUUUCCUGCAAAAUUCUAAAAUGUUGAAAAACUAAUUAUGAAGAAUAAAUCUCAGGGAUUUUGACACUUUUACCAAAUGAAUGCUAUAAAUGUUUUGGAUUUUCCUGAUGCUUAAUUCUGAUGGGGCUGAACCAGCUUGUUGACUUGUUGCCUGAAUUUCAUUUCAACUUUUAUGUUGUAUUAGAAGACUGAAUAUACACAAAUUUUUAA